UAUGAAGGGAGCGAGCGUUGUUCGGAGUCACUGGGCGUAAAGCGUGCGUAGGCGGUUUUGUAAGUCAGAAGUGAAAGCCUGGGGCUCAACCUCAGAAUUGCUUUUGAGACUGCAAAGCUAGAGUAUUGGAGAGGUCAGUGGAAUUCCGAAUGUAGAGGUGAAAUUCGCAGAUAUUCGGAGGAACACCAGUGGCGAAGGCGACUGACUGGACAAUUACUGACGCUGAGGCACGAAAGCGUGGGGAUCAAACAGG
rnacentral:rRNA from 1 species